rnacentral:lncRNA from 1 species
CAGCAUUCCAACACUUCCCUCUGAGCUUUUGCCUUUCCCUGGAGUUCUUUUAUUUUGAUUCCUGUUGCCACCACCAAGCCUAGUCCCCAUCUCCCUGGAUUGGGGAGUUGGGUUGGGGAGGAUGAGACAGAAACAUUAUCCCUCUUUUCUUCUCAGCUCAAGAUUAUGAAGUAAGAAGACUGUUGCUGGGAUAUCAGCUCUAUCUCCCAACCCACAUCAGCUUUUUCUAUAUUGGGAGUCAUGGAGCUGGUUGAACAAUACCAGACAGUACGUGGAAAGCCUUGCAUUGUGUUCACCACCUCGGUCAUUUUUAUUCAAAAUGAUUUCAGAAAAUCAAUGUGACCAUCUGGCCUCGGAGAAACUUCACUGAGGUCCCAAAUGUCUUCAGUACCCAGAUGAAUCCUUAUAACUCUAUUGAAAAUACAUUUAAAAAGUAGUUAUUGAUCGUGUAUUGUGAUCCUGGUCCCAAGCCUCACACUGUCGUUUCCUUCCUUCAAGGAGUUAACAGUUUUAUGAAGGGAAACAGCCAUUAAAAUGAACAGUCACAGCUGAAGCAGGUAAAUCAACAGUAGAAAUCCAUACAGAGGUCUGGGCAUGGUGGCUCAUGCCUGUAAUCCCAGCACUUUGGGAGGCCGAGGCGGGUGAAUCAAAAUGUCAGGAGUUCAAGACCAGCCUGACCAACAUGGUAAAACCCCGCCUCUACUAAAUAUACAAAAAUUUGCUUGGCAUGGUAGUGCGCACCUGUAAUCCCAGCUACUCAGGAAGCUGAGGCUUGAGAAUUGCUUGAACCCAGGAGGUGGAGGUUGCAGUGAGCCAAGAUCGUACCACUGCACUCCAGGUUGGGCGACAGAGCGAGACUCCAUCUCAAAAAAAGAAAUCCAUACAAAGCCUGCAAGUUCACAAAGUCACUUCCACCUCACUGCUCUUCAUCAAAGGCCUCCAAGAAAAGAUGGGGGCUCUGGUUGGAAAGAUGUGGCAGAUGUCAGCUACCAGAUGGCAAGAAGGAGGCAGUUCCGGACACAGGCUCGAAACAGAGAAGUUAGUGUGGGAAAGUGAGAGCAAACUGACCCCACCAUGCAGAGAGAGUGGGCAAGGCGAUAGAACUUAGAGGUACGCCCUAGCCUCCUUACCUGUGGGCCUGGGUUGGUCUCUGGAACUUCUUAGAAGCAAAGGGGCUUCCAAAUGGAAGACAUCCUAGUCGAAAGGAAAAACAAAAAGAAACAUCCCAACGGG